AUAUUUCUGGCUUUCUCCAAAGAGGCGGAAAUAGUGCCUUUUCCCAUCAAAUCUCUCUCUCUCUCAAACACACACAUACUCUCUCUCUCUCCACGUGCUCGUCUGCACAGCGUCUGGCGGCGUAGUUAACUCGCGAAAGCAUUCACGAGAUAGGCAUAGCCUUGAAACGACGCGCUCGUUCGUAUUUCCCUUUUAGCCGGCGCUCUAUGCACCUACAAACGCUGCAGCGCAUUAUGCAUCGCAUUUUUCUCUGUGAUAUAUGCACAAGUAAAGAAUUUGGCAAGCGCCGCAACAUAGGCCCGCCUGACCGCCGUGCGCCGGCCGCCGCCGACUACAUUGUCGGGUUAGCUCGGAAGGACUGGUACGUAGCUUUUACACAGGAGUCGCUGAAUCAGGAGUCACCGCUGUGAGCAACUUCAUCGUCAAUUGCCUCUUCCACGGCAUUUGAGGGCUGCAGUGGCUUCUGACAAACAAAGAACACACUACGCAACUGCAGCCUAGAAGGAGACCGGCAGAAGGAGACACGAUACAGUCCAUGCAGACGCUAACACACUGGAAGAAAACGUGCACGCACACU